rnacentral:lncRNA from 1 species
UUUAAUACUUUGAAAGAGGGACGAAAGAUACCAAAGGGACAGUCAAACUCAUAAAUCUAAAACAAACUGACAACGCCAUGGCUAAACAUGAAAAAGACAAACAGAAAAACAAUAGUACACAUGACACAACAUAGAAAACUAAAGAAUAAACAACACGAACCCCACCAAAAACUAGGGAUGAUCUCAGGUGCUCCGGAAGGGUAAGCAGAUCCUGCUCCACAUGUGGCACCCGUCGUGUUGCUUAUGUGAUUACAAAUCCGGUAAAUAGUCUAAUUCGGUAGGUCACAUUCAUGAAAGGGAAGGGGAUUGUAGUAACGACGUAAGGAACAUAUCCGAUAUCAUUUGUGAAACGGUUAUUCCAUAACGGUCAACCAACUCGUGAUGGCGUCCGUAAAAUUUACGAAGGGAUGAUUUCAACUUCACCAUUUGGAACUCUUGGUUUAAUAGCUUCCUUGUGAGCA